GAUCAUGGCUCAGGAUGAACGCUAGCGGCAGGCCUAACACAUGCAAGUCGAGGGGCAGCACGGUGUAGCAAUACACUGGUGGCGACCGGCGCACGGGUGCGUAACGCGUAUGCAACCUACCCAUAACAGGGGGAUAACACUGAGAAAUUGGUACUAAUACCCCAUAACAUCAGGACCGGCAUCGGUUCUGGUUGAAAACUCCGGUGGUUAUGGAUGGGGACAUGCGUUGUAUUAGCUGG
rnacentral:rRNA from 1 species